GAUGAACGCUGGCGGCGUGCCUAAUACAUGCAAGUCGAGCGAACAGACGAGGAGCUUGCUCCUCUGACGUUAGCGGCGGACGGGUGAGUAACACGUGGAUAACCUACCUAUAAGACUGGGAUAACUUCGGGAAACCGGAGCUAAUACCGGAUAAUAUAUUGAACCGCAUGGUUCAAUAGUGAAAGACGGUUUUGCUGUCACUUAUAGAUGGAUCCGCGCCGCAUUAGCUAGUUGGUAAGGUAACGGCUUACCAAGGCGACGAUGCGUAGCCGACCUGAGAGGGUGAUCGGCCACACUGGAACUGAGACACGGUCCAGACUCCUACGGGAGGCAGCAGUAGGGAAUCUUCCGCAAUGGGCGAAAGCUUGACGGAGCAACGCCGCGUGAGUGAUGAAGGUCUUCGGAUCGUAAAACUCUGUUAUUAGGGGAGAACAAAUGUGUAAGUAACUAUGCACGUCUUGACGGUACCUAAUCAGAAAGCCACGGCUAACUACGUG
rnacentral:rRNA from 1 species